CAACUGUAAUUUAACACACGACUCAUGAACUGACACUGAAUGAAAAAUAAAAACUAGCCAAACGUAUAAAUUGUGCACUUAACAACGAGUGGUAAACAAAUAACGUGUUUAAUAACCUAACAUUAUUAAAGCUAAACUUGAAUCUUGAAUGUUGACCUUGCCCACGAGAGGUAUCCUUUCUUGAUUGCUUAAUUAUGAAUCAUCGAAAAUUUUGGUAAUUAUUUAUAAACUGAUGAAAUCCAAAAAUACUAGGAAUUCCCAAUAAAAGUUGCCCAAUUAGACCCGUAAACUAAAAAAGCCGUAACCAGUGGAUGUCUAUUGGAAUGGACUACUGUAAUUUGUCCUAUCGCAUCACGAUCACACAAUUCAACCUUGCCCAAUACAAACUGUGUCUCUUUUGCCGUCGACGUGAAGAUAAACUGUAAUUAUUUAAAAACAAAAUAUAAACUACACAAGCUAAAAA